rnacentral:rRNA from 1 species
UGGGGAAUAUUGGACAAUGGGGGCAACCCUGAUCCAGCAAUGCCGCGUGUGUGAAGAAGGUCUUCGGAUUGUAAAGCACUUUCGACGGGGACGAUGAUGACGGUACCCGUGGAAGAAGCCCCGGCUAACUUCGUGCCAGCAGCCGCGGUAAUACGAAGGGGGCUAGCGUUGCUCGGAAUGACUGGGCGUAAAGGGCGUGUAGGCGGUUUACACAGUCAGAUGUGAAAUCCCCGGGCUUAACCUGGGAGCUGCAUUUGAUACGUGUAGACUAGAGUGUGAGAGAGGGUUGUGGAAUUCCCAGUGUAGAGGUGAAAUUCGUAGAUAUUGGGAAGAACACCGGUGGCGAAGGCGGCAACCUGGCUCAUGACUGACGCUGAGGCGCGAAAGCGUGGGGAGCAAACAGGAUUAGAUACCCUGGUAGUCCACGCUGUAAACGAUGUGUGCUAGAUGUUGGGUAACUUUGUUAUUCAGUGUCGCAGUUAACGCGUUAAGCACACCGCCUGGGGAGUACGGCCGCAAGGUUG